AGGGCGCUUGAGUUGCUUGCUGUAGACCCGAAACCCGGUGAUCUAGCCAUGGGCAGGUUGAAGGUGCGGUAACACGCACUGGAGGACCGAACUCACGCCUGUUGAAAAAGUCGGAGAUGACCUGUGGCUAGGGGUGAAAGGCCAAUCAAACCGGGAAAUAGCUGGUUCUCCGCGAAAGCUAUUUAGGUAGCGCGUCGGGCGAUUGCCCACGGGGGUAGAGCACUGGAUGGGCUAGGGGGCCUCGCGGCUUACCAAACCUAACCAAACUCCGAAUACCGUGGAGCACAGCCCGGCAGACAGACGGUGGGUGCUAAGGUCCAUCGUCGAGAGGGAAACAGCCCAGACCGCCAGCUAAGGUCCCCAAAUCACGGCUAAGUGGGAAAGGAUGUGGGAAGGCCAUGACAACCAGGAGGUUGGCUUAGAAGCAGCCAUCCUUUAAAGAAAGCGUAAUAGCUCACUGGUCUAGUUAAGCCGGCCUGCGCCGAAAAUGUAUCGGGGCUCAAGCCGUGUACCGAAGCUGCGGAUGUGAUCUCUGAUCACGUGGUAGCGGAGCGUUCCGUAAGCCUGCGAAGGGUGUCCGUGAGGCCGCCUGGAGGUAUCGGAAGUGAGAAUGCUGACAUGAGUAGCGACAAACAGUGUGAGAAACACUGUCGCCGAAAGUCCAAGGGUUCCUGCGCAAGGUUAAUCCACGCAGGGUGAGCCGGCCCCUAAGGCGAGGCCGAAAGGCGUAGUCGAUGGGAACCACGUUAAUAUUCGUGGGCCAGCGGGUGUGUGACGAAUGGGAAAGCGUGUCGGGCCUUAUCGGAUUGGCCCGGCUGGGGACCCGUUCCAGGAAACAGCCCCCGCAUCAGACCGUACCCCAAACCGACACAGGUGGACUGGUAGAGUAUACCCAGGCGCUUGAGAGAAUGGUGUUGAAGGAACUCGGCAAAUUGCCCUCGUAACUUCGGAAGAAGAGGGCCCCGUUGUGGCGCAAGCCAUGGCGGGGGGCACAGACCAGGGGGUGGCGACUGUUUACUAAAAACACAGGGCUCUGCGAAGCCGUACAAGGCGACGUAUAGGGUCUGACGCCUGCCCGGUGCCGGAAGGUUAAGAGGAGGGGUUCACGCUCCGAAUUGAAGCCCCGGUAAACGGCGGCCGUAACUAUAACGGUCCUAAGGUAGCGAAAUUCCUUGUCGGGUAAGUUCCGACCUGCACGAAUGGCGUAACGACUUCCCCGCUGUCUCCAACACCAACUCAGCGAAAUUGAACUCUCCGUGAAGAUGCGGAGUACCCGCGGUCAGACGGAAAGACCCCGUGCACCUUUACUACAGCUUUGCAGUGGUGCUAGGGAUCUCAUGUGUAGGAUAGGUGGGAGGCUAGGAAACCCGGGCGCCAGCUCGGGCGGAGCCACCCUUGAAAUACCACCCUUGAGGUCUCUGGCAUCUAACCGCGCUCCGUUCAUCCGGAGCCGGGACCCUGCAUGGCGGGUAGUUUGACUGGGGCGGU
rnacentral:rRNA from 1 species